AUGAACGCUAGCUACAGGCUUAACACAUGCAAGUCGAGGGGCAGCAUGGUCUUAGCUUGCUAAGGCUGAUGGCGACCGGCGCACGGGUGAGUAACACGUAUCCAACCUGCCGUCUACUCUUGGCCAGCCUUCUGAAAGGAAGAUUAAUCCAGGAUGGGAUCAUGAGUUCACAUGUCCGCAUGAUUAAAGGUAUUUUCCGGUAGACGAUGGGGAUGCGUUCCAUUAGAUAGUAGGCGGGGUAACGGCCCACCUAGUCAACGAUGGAUAGGGGUUCUGAGAGGAAGGUCCCCCACAUUGGAACUGAGACACGGUCCAAACUCCUACGGGAGGCAGCAGUGAGGAAUAUUGGUCAAUGGGCGAUGGCCUGAACCAGCCAAGUAGCGUGAAGGAUGACUGCCCUAUGGGUUGUAAACUUCUUUUAUAAAGGAAUAAAGUCGGGUAUGCAUACCCGUUUGCAUGUACUUUAUGAAUAAGGAUCGGCUAACUCCGUGCCAGCAGCCGCGGUAAUACGGAGGAUCCGAGCGUUAUCCGGAUUUAUUGGGUUUAAAGGGAGCGUAGAUGGAUGUUUAAGUCAGUUGUGAAAGUUUGCGGCUCAACCGUAAAAUUGCAGUUGAUACUGGAUGUCUUGAGUGCAGUUGAGGCAGGCGGAAUUCGUGGUGUAGCGGUGAAAUGCUUAGAUAUCACGAAGAACUCCGAUUGCGAAGGCAGCCUGCUAAGCUGCAACUGACAUUGAGGCUCGAAAGUGUGGGUAUCAAACAGGAUUAGAUACCCUGGUAGUCCACACGGUAAACGAUGAAUACUCGCUGUUUGCGAUAUACGGCAAGCGGCCAAGCGAAAGCGUUAAGUAUUCCACCUGGGGAGUACGGCCGCAAGGUUGAAACUCAAAGGAAUUGACGGGGGCCCGCACAAGCAGUGGAGUAUGUGGUUUAAUUCGACGCAACGCGAAGAACCUUACCAGGGCUUGACAUAUACAGGAAUAUAUAAGAGAUUAUAUAGCUCUUCGGAGUCUGUAUACAGGUGGUGCAUGGUUGUCGUCAGCUCGUGUCGUGAGAUGUUGGGUUAAGUCCCGCAACGAGCGCAACCCUUAUUGCCAGUUACUACGAAAGAGGACUCUGGCGAGACUGCCGUUGACAAAACGGAGGAAGGUGGGGAUGACGUCAAAUCAGCACGGCCCUUACGUCCGGGGCUACACACGUGUUACAAUGGGGGGUACAGAGGGCCGCUACCACGCGAGUGGAUGCCAAUCCCUAAAACCCCUCUCAGUUCGGACUGGAGUCUGCAACCCGACUCCACGAAGCUGGAUUCGCUAGUAAUCGCGCAUCAGCCACGGCGCGGUGAAUACGUUCCCGGGCCUUGUACACACCGCCCGUCAAGCCAUGGGAGCCGGGGGUACCUGAAGUGCGUAACCGCGAGGAUCGCCCUAGGGUAAAACUGGUGACUGGGGCU
rnacentral:rRNA from 1 species